GGAGAGAGACAUGCAGCUGCUUUCUCCGGCAGCGGCUGCGAUCGGCUUCAGAGAGCGGCGCUCAGAGCAGGGGUGUGGGAGCCUCGCUGGGAGAAAGGAGCGGAGAGAAUUCACAAGUCCCCGCCACAUCCCCCUGCUGUUCCGAAGCAUCACCUUUUCUAUUUGGAUUUGGAAAACACUUUGCUGUGGGGAUAUCGUGCAGACCAGGUACUCAGGGAGGUCUUAAUUCAAUAGACUUCCCAAUUGCGGUGUGUCUCGUCCAUCACCACAUUGAAGAUGGUUGGUCAGCCACAGAGACACAGGGCAGGGAGAUCUGGAGCCUUCAAUAAAUCCUGCAGUGAGGUGCAUCAAUCCACUGGCUGCUUCCUGUAUCCCCUGAUUCUGGAAUAGACCAAUCGAUGCCUUGACUAUCUCUGCAGUCAGUUGCCUGAAAAAUGUUUAUUCCAAGCCAUUAGGUCCUGUCUACCUUUAGUCCUAUUAGUUGGUCAAUACUUUGUCCCUUGUGACAAAAACUGUUAAAACAUUUUUCUAUCCAUGAUUAACUUGCUUAUUUGUUACCUUUAGGAUGAUACCGCUAUCCUCUUCAUGAAGAUCAAUGUAAAAUAUAGGUUUACAUUAUCUGCUAUUUCUUUGUACUCAUUAUCAAUUCCACAGUCAGACCCUCCAAGGGUUCGAUGCUGACUUAAGAUACUCAAUGUUUAUGUACCUGUACAACUCUUGCUAUUCAUUUUUGUUUCUUGUCAAUUUAAUUACAUGAUCAGUUUUCUCCCUUUUUAGUCAUCCGCUGCUAUGUCAUUCUUUUCCUUGUGGGUACUGCCCUUGACUGCCUUUGUUACCCACGGGUGGUUUACCUUCCUCUUCGAGUUCUCCUUUUUGUCUCAAAUUAACUUUUGCUAAGAAUUAAUGUAAAACAAAACCCCAGCUUAU